GGACGCCCGCCCCGGUGGCGGGGCGGGCGUCCGGGACGUGCGGUGGGUCAGGCGGAGACGGGCCCCUCGUCGGGUCCCGGGUCGGCGGCGUCCGCC
rnacentral:tRNA from 1 species